rnacentral:rRNA from 1 species
GACGAACGCUGGCGGCGUGCCUAAUACAUGCAAGUCGAGCGGAACUGGGGGAGCUUGCUCCUUCCAGUUUAGCGGCGGACGGGUGAGUAACACGUGGGCAACCUGCCCUGCAGAUCGGGAUAACUCCGGGAAACAGGUGCUAAUACCGAAUAGUCGGGCGCCUACUCUGAGGCGCUACGGAAAGACGGUUUCGGGUGUCACCGCAUGGGGGGCCCGCGGCGCAUUAGCUAGUUGGUGGGGUAACGGCCCACCAAGGCGACGAUGCGUAGCCGACCUGAGAGGGUGACCGGCCACACUGGGACUGAGACACGGCCCAGACUCCUACGGGAGGCAGCAGUAGGGAAUCUUCCGCAAUGGACGCAAGUCUGACGGAGCAACGCCGCGUGAGUGACGAAGGUUUUCGGAUCGUAAAACUCUGUUGUGAGGGAAGAACACGUACCAACUAACUAUUGGUACCUUGACGGUACCUCACCAGAAAGCCACGGCUAACUACGUGCCAGCCGCCGCGGUAA